rnacentral:rRNA from 1 species
AGUCGAGCGAGAAAGGGCUUCGGCCCCAGUAAAGCGGCGCACGGGUGAGUAACACGUAGGUCAUCAACCCUCGAGUGGUGGACAACCCUCCGAAAGGAGGGCUAAUACAGCAUGACGCCAGCAAUGGCCAAAGCGGGCCUCUUCAUGAAAGCUCGCGCUCGAGGAUGAGCCUGCGGCCCAUCAGGUAGUUGGUUGGGGUAACGGCCCACCGAGCCUACGACGGGUAGCUGGUCUGAGAGGAUGAACAGCCACACUGGAACUGAGACACGGUCCAGACUCCUACGGGAGGCAGCAGUCGGGAAUCUUCCGCAAUGGGCGAAAGCCUGACGGAGCGACGCCGCGUGAGCGAUGAAGGCCUUCGGGUUGUAAAGCUCUGUGGGGAGGGAAGAAUAAGGGUGAGUUAAUAGCUCAUUUGAUGACGGUACCUCCUUAGCAAGCACCGGCUAACUCUGUGCCAGCANNNNCG